rnacentral:pre_miRNA from 1 species
AGGAGCAACAGCCCUAGUGGCGGGGCCAGCUCUGGAGCCCUGGAUUCAGCUCCGGCAGGAACUCCGGAGGUCGUCUGCAGGGCCUGGAGGCUCUGGGGCGGG